rnacentral:misc_RNA from 2 species
AUAUCUCAACCAUACUCAUGUGAGGGUAUGGCUUGGACGUGGGGGUUACAGGCCUUUAUUUGUGGUCUGCUCCCCUGAAAUACAUGAGUGGCAAAGCCCCCCUCCAUUAGGUGUGAUAAUUAUCUGCAUCUAUGGGGGGAUCUACUUGUUGCUGCUGGAUCAUAUGUUGUUGUUGUUGU